rnacentral:tRNA from 1 species
GCCUGUGGCUCAGUGGCAAAGCAUCCGCUUUGCAUGCAGAAGGUGCCAGGUUCAAUCCCCAGCAUCUCCA